rnacentral:rRNA from 1 species
CCAAUAGCGUAUAUUAAAGUUGUUGCAGUUAAAAAGCUCGUAGUUGAAUUUCGGGAUCAAUAUUUCGGUCAUGCCGUUGGUAUGCACUGUUAUCAUUGAUUUCUCACCUUCUAAAGAACCGUAAUGCCAUUAAUUUGGUGUUACGGGGAAUUAGGACUGUUACCUUGAAAAAAUUAGAGUGUUUAAAGCAGGCUCACGCUUGAAUUACAUUAGCAUGGAA